ensembl:snRNA U4 U4 spliceosomal RNA
AUCUUUGCUUGGUGGCAGUAUCAUAGCCAAUAAAGCUUAUUCAAAGUGCAGUUAUUGCUAACUGAAAAUGUUUCCCCAUUCUCAUGAUGUCCUGAAGAAGAGGUGGCAUUGGCAAUUUUUGAUAGUCUUUGCAGAGA